UCUCCCACGUUAAUGUGUUGUCUUCAUCAAGUCUGUGUUAUCCUUUGUGAUGUACCUGGGCAGGCUAAGUAACAGAAUUUUAAUUCUAAUUUUAACAAAAGCCAGCCCUACUGAUCUCUUUCUCUGGUGGUUCCAUCCUGGGCUUAAGCUUAGCCUAAGAAAUGUGACUGAUGGAAUGCAUAUGCUGGAAUGUGUUUUCUCCACUGAGUGAGAAAGAAAAGCGACAAAAAUGGAACUAUCCUGGAAAAAAUUAUGGUUCCAGAAUCUCUGGUGCUUGCACUUGUGUGGCUCUCUGCUGGUGGCUCCCUGGACACCCUAAAUUAGAAGUUCACAGUGAUUUGGGGUAUCCCUGAGUGGCUGAAGCCACCAGAGAUGUUCCUUGCUGCUGCUUGACUACUUGCACAAGAGCACUCCAUUCUAGAUAAGAAUAAUAAACCCCCUCAUCUUGCAGGGAAAUUGGGAAAAUAAGUCAAUUAGUGUGUUGGAAGCGAUCUGAUACUGCACUGGCAAACACAGAAAAAUGCUGGUUUAGAUCUUGGACUAAAUAGUGUGCAAAAAGUAAGGCUCUAGACCAGUAAUGAACAGUGACAGAAGGAGAAAUUAUUGAAUUGUUGCUCAUUUAGUGAACGUGAUUCCUGCUGUGCACUGGAUGAAAUUGCCCUGUGGGGAAAAUAGAGACACGAGGAUAAUUCUUACAAAAAGAGGAAUGACUUGUGGUUGCAGAGAGAAGCUCAUAUUUAGCAUUUCCUCACUCUUGAGUGAUAAGUGUGACCAUCCAAAAUCAUUCCUGAGAAUCGCGUGUGGGAAUUUCAUUGGGGUGAUUUUCUAGCUUUUGAAAGAGAAUUGAAUAAAAAGCAAUUCUCUCCUGAGACAUUGUCCUAAUACCUGCUGGGGGUUUGAGGUGCUUAAAAGUGCAGAAAUUCCUAAAUUUUCAUAGGGACAGCAUGAGGGAGCCUUCUCUUAGAUUUCAAACCUUUUCCAAAAUGUGUUUUCUGAAAUGGAUUCACCUGGAAUUGUUAAUUGUUUUUUUUUUAUGUUCAAGAAGCAAUUGUUAGAUCAUUUUCUUGGUUUUCCUUUUUUUUUUUUUUCUUUUUUUUUUUUCUUUUUUUUUUUUUUUCUUUUUUCUUUUUUUUUUUUUAACAGGUUAAAUUGUUUAUUUCCCCUUAUUUCAUCCUUGGAAAAUGCAAUGCUUUGGCUGAAAUUCUCUAAAAUGCCCACUGUGAAAACUUCAGCCCACGUAGUUAUAAUUGAGAUAAAUUGUAAACAAUUGAAUGCAGGAUCUUCUAAUGAGAGGUAUCAAGGAAUAUUAAUAAUAGAUAUUAUUUCCAGCCAAGCCUGUAAUAAUACUUGAUAGGAUAUUUAAGGUAAAGAGAUGCAAGCACAAAGUGAGGCAAAUGUAUGUACUCAUCUUUUACAUUUUAAUGGAACUAAUUAAUGAGGCUGGCAUGCUUUUGAAAAUGCUUUAAUUUAUUCUUUGAUUAAAAAGUAGAAGUCUCUCAUUAGUGCAAAAAUAUCUUUUCUGAGUUACACUUCUGGAGUGUAUAAAACAGAUCAGUGCUGAUAUAAACUGGGAAUUUCAAAAUUAUUGUUUACACUGCAUACUAUUUCUGCAUCAUUCAUUGUGGAUUUACAUCAUAAUUAGUUUGCUCUGUUUUCCCUGCAGUGAGCUUGACUUGAAAUGGGAAAUUCCUUUGGAUUUAACUCUUGCACCUGAUGGCUGUUUCACUUUCAGACUUUGGCCAUACGACAUUCUUAAAAAAGUGUGCUUUGCUGGGUCUGGCUGAUAGUUUGAUGGCUUCCACCUCCUGUCAUGCAAACAGGGCUGGGGAAGCUUAGGAACACCACUGCUUUCCAUGAAGGCAGGAUUAGGCCCAGGUGAUGCCAUCUACUUUGUGGUGAUUUUUAAAUGACCUUUUCAAAUUCCUCCAAUUAAUUAAAUUUAUUUCAGCUUAUCCUGUAUCGCUGAUUGAAGUGAAGAACUUUAUUUUUGCCUUGAAGGUGGAAUAUGUACUGAAUAGUCUUUGCUGAAAGCUUUAAUCAAAGCUGGAUUGGAUUGCCUUUCUUCUGUACUGCCAGAAUUUUGUGUGGGGUUUUUUUUGUUGGGUUUUUUUAACCUUCCAAAUGACCUCCUUUGCUUUUAACUUUUUGUCAUUCUCCUUUUCUGUGGCAAGUGCCUGGAAUUUCUUGGUGCAGGUUUUCUAUGCCAUACACUUGGCCAUCUUUGCAAAGACAUCAAUCUGUCAAGGAAAUGAAAGACCUCACUGAAUUAAAAUAUAGCAUUUAGAAAUUAGUUACAUAAUGUUUAAUUCUUUGACAAUUGGACAACUGUGAAGAAGUAAAAUUUCUCUGUGCUUGGACUAUAAAAUAAGUGACAUUUGCUCUCUAGACUCUACAAGUGACUGCUCUGGCCAUGUUUUGCUGCCAGAUGCAGCGUACUUAAAUCAAGUAUGUUUUUUAGAGUAGUAAAUAUCAAGUCUAUUAACUUUCCUGAAGUGUAGAUAUGGAGAUAGGUAUCCUUAUUUGAGCAUUAAGUUCCCCUGGUCUGUUCAUCUCAUUAAGAUUUAUCAGGAGCAAAUGAGGCCUGUGCUCAGAAGGAAUUGCUUUAUUUCCUGUGCCAGAGGCAGCUUCUUUGAUGCUAGAUGAGGUCACUGACGGUGUUGUUUCUGUCAUCAUCCCACACAGCUUUGCAUGAGCAGCUCCUGCAAUAUUAAUCUCUUUUGGAGUUCUUUCAGCAUUUAGGUUUCAGGUGGCUUUUAUGCAAAAUAAAUUCUCCUUCCAUUUGUGAAAUUCCUGUACUGCUUUCUUAGGCCAGGCAUGCAAAUCACCACCACACCCCACAGUCUCCACAUUCUCCAAAUUUACGUAUUCUUCUACUAAUUUUUUUCCUCAGAAUUUUUUUUUUCAGUAUUUUUCUUGGAAGUUUUGCUUAGUCAAUUUGCCAAACUCUGUUCCAGCCUAUUUCAAUGUCAACCUGAUCCACAUGGAGCUUUCAUUUACUAGUUGUGCUGUCCAGCACAAUUAAUUUCUCAACCACAGCCCACUCUCUUUUCCACUGAGAAGAAAAUGGGGGAAAAACAUGGUAUUUUUUUUUUUUUCAUCAAGUCCAUCCUGCAAUGAGGUUCUAGUGUAUUUUGCCUCCAGCUGUCUUGUGGCUUGUCCCUAUAUCCUGCUGUUACCUCCUCUAAAAAAAGGCACAAACAAACUCUAUUGUGGUUCUUGUGUUAGGAGUGACAAGCAGGGAAAAAAAAGCAAGUAUUACCUUUCAUUUUAUAUUUCCCUUCAGUUUUGCCUCCCUGAUGUUUCUUUCUCUUCGUGGCUCAUUUUUCACCUGUGUUGUUCAGUACUCUAGUUUUUUUUCCAAACGUGUCUCAUGACAGGAAUGAAAAAUGUGUUUCCUGAGCAAGGCCACAGCUGAAUCCAGCUGUGCAGGCGCUGCCUGAGCCCCUGAACACGUGGGAGAGGGGCACAAUUAUUCCCCACCCUCCUCCCUCUCCUCCAGCUCGGCCCAGGCCCCUUGCAGGGACACUCGUGUGGGCAGUGCUGGUGGCUUUAAUUGGAUUUAAUUACUAAUAACAGCAUGGGGUGAUUGAGAGGCGUUCCACGAGUUGUUUUG